GCUUACGUAGCUUAAUUUUAAAGCA
rnacentral:tRNA from 1 species